UCGACGUAGAACAAUAUGCCUGUUAUAUACACCUCGCCGGAAUGUGGGUUAAACUGCUCCAUUACUAUAUAUUGUGGGUAUUUACAAUUCUCCGUAUCCACUGCCACCUGCCCAGCUACGCUUCAACACCGUCCAACAAAAUAGAUCAAUUCUGCGCGUUGGCGGAUACGUGCGUGCACGACACAAUACCGAUCUGCGGCAGGAUGGGCGACGAGAAGAGGACCUUUCUGGAUCUCUGCGAUU
rnacentral:lncRNA from 1 species